GAUGAACGCNGGCGGCGUGCUUAACACAUGCAAGUCGAACGAGAAGUGGAGACGGAAACCUUCGGGCGGAAGACUUUACUUCGAGUGGCGGACGGGUGAGUAACGCGUGGGUAACCUGCCUCAUACAGGGGGAUAACAGUUGGAAACGACUGUUAAUACCGCAUAAGACCACAGCACCGCAUGGUGCGGGGGUAAAAACUCCGGUGGUAUGAGAUGGACCCGCGUUCGAUUAGCCAGUUGGCGGGGUAACGGCCCACCAAAGCGACGAUCGAUAGCCGAUCUGAGAGGAUGACCGGCCACAUUGGGACUGAGACACGGCCCAAACUCCUACGGGAGGCAGCAGUGGGGAAUAUUGCACAAUGGGGGAAACCCUGAUGCAGCGACGCCGCGUGAGUGAAGAAGUAUUUCGGUAUGUAAAGCUCUAUCAGCAGGGAAGAAAANGA
rnacentral:rRNA from 1 species